UACGGGGGGGGGCAAGCGUUGUUCGGAAUUACUGGGCGUAAAGGGCUUGUAGGCGGCCAACUAAGUCCGACGUGAAAUCCCCAGGCUUAACCUGGGAACUGCGUCGGAUACUGGAUGGCUUGAAUUCGGGAGAGGGAUGCAGAAUUCCAGGUGUAGCGGUGAAAUGCGUAGAUAUCUGGAUGAACACCAAUAAAGGCGAAGGCAGUUAACUAUUCUGCUACUGACAUUGAGGGCACGAAAGCGUGGGGAGCAAAACGG
rnacentral:rRNA from 1 species